UACGUAGGGACCAAGCGUUGUUCGGAUUUACUGGGCGUAAAGGGCGCGUAGGCGGCUUAACAAGUCACUUGUGAAAUCUCCGGGCUUAACUCGGAGCGGUCAAGUGAUACUGUUGUGCUAGAGUGCGGAAGGGGCUACUGGAAUUCUCGGUGUAGCGGAUGAAAUGCGUAGAUAUCGAGAGGAACACCUGCGGCGAAGGCGGGUAGCUGGGCCGACAUUGACGCUGAAGCGCGAAAGCUAGGGGAGCGAACGGG
rnacentral:rRNA from 1 species